rnacentral:rRNA from 1 species
UACGGAGGGUGCGAGCGUUGUCCGGAAUCACUGGGCGUAAAGGGCGCGUAGGCGGCCUGAUAAGUAGGGGGUGAAAUCCUGUGGCUUAACCGCAGGGCUGCCUUCUAAACUGUCGGGCUAGAGCACAGUAGAGGCAGGUGGAAUUCCCGGUGUAGCGGUGGAAUGCGUAGAGAUCGGGAGGAACACCAGUGGCGAAGGCGGCCUUCUGGACCAAUACUGACGCUCAUGCACGAAAGCGUGGGGAGCAAACAGG